CCUUAAUCAUCGCCCAAUAUGGGAUGAUGUCCCUACAUUCCCACCAUAUGUGUAUCAGCGUGCCGCGUUCUGCCUGGCAUCUCCAGCACAAUGGGGUGAUCGAUGGGAAGAUCCGGUGUAGCAAGGUCGGGGUCCUGUACCAUAAUGAGAGCAAUUUGUAGUUGACCUCCUGGUAGUACGAACUCAUAGAGCUUUUCUGCUGCCAGAGCAAUGCUGUAUCCCAUUGUGCGGGUGUAAG